UAUCCUUCUUCCACUCCUCCUCCUCCUACUUCUACAAAACUCUUUACUUUCCAUCUCAGCAAAUACCAAUAUCAACACAGAUCUUUCUUCUCUUCUUACCUUGAAAUCCCACAUAACUCCACACCCUCAUAACAUACUCAUAAAAAAUUGGACCUCUGAAGCCGGUGUAUGUAGUUGGAUUGGAGUUACAUGUGAUUCUCGCUAUCACAGGUGACUCAGUUGAAUAUAUCUUCCAUGGGUCUCGUAGGAACCAUCUCACCUGAAAUCGGGAAUCUUUCUUUUCUCGUUUCUUUAGAUAUGAGCGAGAAUUCGUUUCAUGGUCCAAUCCCUCCAUCUAUUUUCAACAUGUCAACUUUGGAAGUUUUGAAUUUGAGGAAUAAUAGUUUGUCUAGUAGUCUACCUCUUGAUAUGUGCUAACACAAUUUGCAUAGACUGAAGAGACUUCGUAUUUCUUACAACGAGUUGUAGGGGGAAAUACCAUCGAGUUUGGAGCAGUGUUCGCAGCAUGAGCAUCUUUCUCUGCAGAGCAACAAAUUCAGUGGACAUGUACAAAUUGGAAACUUGACCUUUCUUCGAAUAUUAUACUUGGGUGCCAACAACUUACGUGGUCCAAUUGUCCACCUUAGUGAAUCAAUCAAGACUAGUUUAUUUAGGGCUUGGUCUCAACAGCUUUAGUGGAGAGAUUCAACCAUCCAUUUGCAACAUGAGAUCCCUCCAAACCCUCUAUUUAUCAUACAAUUAUUUUGAAGGGCCGAUUCCAAAAUGUAUGGUGAACUUUAGCACAUCUCUUUCAAUCCUCCAUUUGAAUGCAAAUAAACUUAAUGACCUCAUCCCGUCAACAUUUCCAAAGGGUUGCAGUCUUCAGUCAAUCAAUAUGAAUGACAACAAAUUGGAAGGAACACUACCCCGAACCCUACUCAACUGCCAGGGUUUGUUGGGCAUCGACAUUGGCAUUCAUUUCCCUUUUGGAUGGAAACACUCCCUCAACUUCGCAUCCUCGUCUUGAGGUCAAAUAAAUUUAAUGGUACGAUGUUGGUGGAUUCAAACUCAAACACAGAGCUACCAUUUCCAAAGUUGCAAGUCUUGGAUUUAUCACAGAAUGAAUUUGUUGGCCCUCUCCCUGUUAGAUAUAUCAACAACUUUCGAGGUAUGAUCGAUUGAUAGGAUAAACCUCCUAUCGGGCUGAUCGGCGUCCGUAGAUCGGCGAUCGAUAAAUGUUUGUCGCGGGCAAGUGCCCGUCGAGCACGAUGGUCGAUAAUAUUGAUAUUCUUGAUUGAUUUCU